rnacentral:rRNA from 1 species
GACGAACGCUGGCGGCGUGCUUAACACAUGCAAGUCGAACGGAAAGGCCCUGCUUUUGUGGGUUGCUCGAGUGGCGAACGGGUGAGUAACACGUGAGUAACCUGCCCUUGACUUUGGGAUAACUUCAGGAAACUGGGGCUAAUACCGGAUAGGAGCUCCUGCUGCAUGGUGGGGGUUGGAAAGUUUCGGCGGUUGGGGAUGGACUCGCGGCUUAUCAGCUUGUUGGUGGGGUAGUGGCUUACCAAGGCUUUGACGGGUAGCCGGCCUGAGAGGGUGACCGGCCACAUUGGGACUGAGAUACGGACCAGACGCCUACGGGAGGCAGCAGUGGGGAAUAUUGCACAAUGGGGGGAAGCCUGAUGCAGCAACGCCGCGUGCGGGAUGACGGCCUUCGGGUUGUAAACCGCUUUCGCCUGUGACGAAGCGUGAGUGACGGUAAUGGGUAAAGAAGCACCGGCUAACUACGUG